rnacentral:sRNA from 1 species
CACCGCCUGGGGAGUACGACCGCAAGGUUAAAACUCAAAUGAAUUGACGGGGACCCGCACAAGUAGUGGAGCAUGUGGUUUAAUUCGAAGAUACGCGCAGAACCUUACCAACACUUGACAUGUUCGUCGCGACUUUAAGAAAUUAAAGUUUUCGGUUCGGCCGGACGAAACACAGGUGCUGCAUGGCUGUCGUCAGCUCGUGUCGUGAGAUGUUGGGUUAAGUCCCGCAACGAGCGCAACCCUUACUUUUAGUUGCUACCAUUUAGUUGGGCACUCUAAAAGAACUGCCGGUGAUAAGCUGGAGGAAGGUGGGGAUGACGUCAAGUCCUCAUGGCCCUUAUGUGUUGGGCUACACACGUGCUACAAUGGUAUCUACAAUGAGAUGCGAAGAGGCGACUCUAAGCCAAUCCCAAAAAGAUACCUCAGUUCGGAUUGUACUCUGCAACUCGAGUACAUGAGGCUGGAAUUACUAGUAAUCGUGGAUCAGCGCGCCACGGUGAAUACGUUCCCGGGUCUUGUACACACCGCCCGUCACACCAUGGAAGUUGGUUACACCUUAAGGCAAAGCAUAAAACCUUUGACUACGGUACGAUCAGCGACUGGGGUGAAGUCGUAACAAGGUAGCCGUAGGGGAACCUGCGGCUGGAUCACCUCCUUUCUAAGGAAAUCGAAAAACAUGAAAACAAUUAUUUUCGAUUUAAAAAAAACCGGUAAUGUGACCGUCCUCAUUUCUCUUCUUUUAAUGUCUCUGAGUAUAAAUUAAGGGGCCGGUAGCUCAGGUGGUUAGAGCGCACCCCUGAUAAGGGUGAGGUCGGAAGUUCGAGUCUUCCUCGGCCCACCAAUAUUACGGGGGAUUAGCUCAGCUGGGAGAGCGCCUGAUUUGCAUUCAGGAGGUCAGCGGUUCGAUCCCGCUAUCCUCCACCAAAUUUGAGACAUUUAGCUUUUUUAAAUUGUAAAUAUUAUUAUCAAUAUCUAUAUCCGAUUGUUUUCAGAUAUUUUUUUGAAAACAAUCAAAACAAAAAUUUGAAUUUUACACAGAAAGUUUUUUUCUG